rnacentral:snRNA from 1 species
AUCACUACUCGGCCUUUUGGCUAAGAUCAAGUGUAGUAUCUGUUCUUAUCAGUUAAAUAUCUGAUACAUCCUUUAUCCAAUUUUCAUUUAUUAGCUUGGCAACUUUUAAAGUAAUCAUACCAAUUGCUGACAGGAGUAAAUCU